GCAGCUAUCAAGGAAGGAGUGCUCUGCUGCAGAAGAGAGGAGAAGUCUGCUGAAGGAGCAGCACAUGACUCGGCUGUGGGAUGAAGAACCCCAGCACCUGUGAACAGCACUGUCUACAUGUAGAAAAGACCUUGCAUCAUCAGUGUGCCGCUGGCAUUGCCUUUCCUACUGCCUCGGGGAUUAUCCACUGGAAGUUGGAUGUACAUAGUGAAUAAGUAAGACACAGGACUGAGCCCGCCACAGCUCCCAUUUUGGGGGAACUUGAGGACCACCCAGUAGUUCAAGGCUGGCUGCUGGCCAGAAUAUCUAUGUACUUGCUAUCCUCUUUCUUCCUAGUUGCUGUAGCUAAAUCAAGCCUGACUUCACUCAGAAGCUCUGUGUGGAAGAAAGUGAUGCCAGUAUAACAACGUAACUGGCUGCAGGAUUUUAUCUCACAAAAUGGUCAGAAAUCGCCUCAAAGCAGCAUGUUCAGCUGGAAUGCCAAUUUACAGAAUCAUGUUUCAAUAUUAUAUCACUGAACCCUGCACUGAAACCACUAGGAGGCAUUAUUUUUUCACUGGGGCUUGGACAGACUACGUAAUAUCCAUGCUAGAUGGCUCGGCUCCAAGCACUUUGUCCUCUUUCUGCUAUUGUAUACAGCAAUAAUUUCUUAAUUAAUAUGUAUUUAAAGGGGAGGAGGAGACUACAAACAAUACUUAUUCCCUACCUGGGGCUUUCUCAAAGACCGUUUUGAAUGGAUACAAAAUCCCAUGGCUUUGAUCUGACUCCUCUUUACUUUUUGAUUUUGAUAUAGGGGGACUAGAACACUUUCUAUGUGAGCGUAACAGUCAAACUAUGUUGAGUCCUGAUACUGGCAUAGUAUUUCCAGCAUGGGCACCUCAAACUGGCUGGAUUAUACCCAGCAGAAAUCUUCAGGAAUUAUCCUCUUCCCUCAUAUAUAUCUAGUUGUAUAACUAAAAUCACAACCAAAAAUAAAGUAGAUUUUUUUUUUAUUAUUA